AAUAUUGGACAAUGGGCGAAAGCCUGAUCCAGCCAUGCCGCGUGUGUGAAGAAGGUCUUCGGAUUGUAAAGCACUUUAAGUUGGGAGGAAGGGCAGUAAGUUAAUACCUUGCUGUUUUGACGUUACCGACAGAAUAAGCACCGGCUAACUUCGUGCCAGCAGCCGCGGUAAUACGAAGGGUGCAAGCGUUAAUCGGAAUUACGGGGCGUAAAGCGGCGGUAGGUGGUUCGUUAAGUUGGAGGUAAAAGCCCGGGGUUAAACCGGGGAUUUGCUUUAAAAACUACCGACCUAGAGUACGGUAGAGGGAAGUGGAAUUUCCGGUGUAGCGGAGAAAGGCGUAGAUAAAGGAAGGAACAUCAGUGGCGAAGGCGAUUACCUGGACGGAUACUGACACGGAGGGGCGAAAGCGUGGGAGCAAACAGG
rnacentral:rRNA from 1 species